UGGGGAAUCUUGGACAAUGGGGGCAACCCUGAUCCAGCCAUGCCGCGUGAGUGAUGAAGGCCUUAGGGUCGUAAAGCUCUUUCGCCUGUGAAGAUAAUGACGGUAGCAGGUAAAGAAACCCCGGCUAACUCCGUGCCAGCAGCCGCGGUAAUACGGAGGGGGUUAGCGUUGUUCGGAAUUACUGGGCGUAAAGCGCACGUAGGCGGAUCGGAAAGUUGGGGGUGAAAUCCCGGGGGGCUCAACCCCCGGGAACUGCCUCCCAAAACCUAUCGGUCUAGAGUUCGAGAGAGGUGAGUGGAAUUCCGAGUGUAGAGGUGAAAUUCGUAGAUAUUCGGAGGAACACCAGUGGCGAAGGCGGCUCACUGGCUCGAUACUGACGCUGAGGUGCGAAAGUGUGGGGGAGCAAACAGGGAUUUAGAUACCCUGGGUAGUCCACACCGUAAACGAUGAAUGCCAGUCGUCGGAUAGCAUGCUAUUCGGUGACACACCUAA
rnacentral:rRNA from 1 species